GUCUCUCAGUUCGGAUUGAAGCUAGUUUGUGGGGGAAUGCAUCAAAACACAGUAGUACCCCAUGAGAAACAGUGGGAUACAUAGAAUUGUGGGUCAUGUUGUGUUGUGUCCACUGCUUCCCAAACCAGAGAUGGGAGUGCACUGGAUGCAGAGUAAACGGGAGUGUGUGCACAGUCUAAACAUUUGUUUAGGGUGGCGUGCGCAUGUGCAUGCGUGUGGCAGGUGUAAGAAGCUCAGACUGUCCUUUUAGGAGGCAAAAUGUACAGACAGGUUUGCAACUCUUGCAGUCGUUUGGAAUAGCAGCGGCAACCAACCCAGCAAAAGCAAGACGAGCAAAAUGACAGUGGGGUGUCAUACUGCAGGGUUAAUUUAUUCUUUUGCUUUGUUACUGAAGUGUGUUUGCGAAGCCAUUUCAUAUGGCUAAUGGAGGUAUAACAUUAUCCUGGGGAGCUGCAUCUUUCCACUGGCCCAACGUCCGUUUGUUUUGUAGACCUCUGUGGGUUUUUGUGUGAGGUACAUGUCAGCAGUAGCUGGCUCAAUCUAUUUUGCUGCCCUGGGUGAAAGUUAUGUUUGCCCCUCCACACUUGCCCCUCUUGUAGUAUGAAGGGGAGGCUUCAGUGUAAAACAACAACACCUUUUGACCACCUUCCAACCUUGUCCCCACAGCUGGUUCUCUGGUAGAAUGAGGGCCAGUAGGGGCUGUAUACAAAACCUAAACAUCUGUUUACCCAUAACACACCAAUGCCUUUAAGAACACAGGUAGGCACAGAAAUUCAAAUCCACAGACACAUUAAUGCAAUUUUUUAAAAACCACGAAUAAUAAUUUUACGAAAUCAGUUCGAUUGGCAUUCAAAACCUAAAAGAUAUGUAUUUUAUUUAUUUAUUUAUUUAUUUUAAUGAGAGAGUCUUACCCUACAGGGAAUCAAGAAGUCCAUUUUCCAAAGUCAGGCUCUGAAGUCUGGGAGCAACCUGCAUGAGGCCAGUACACACCUUUUCCUGAGAACAAGGAAGCAGGAACAUACGGCCCAUUGCAACAGACAGACUCCAAAAAGAAAGCUCUGAAUUUUAGACUGGAUCUGAAUUUUGAAUAGUAGUUACCCCCAUGGUAUACAUUCAUUUAUACAUGUGUGUGUGUGUGUGUGUGUGUGUGGCAUGGAAGAUGUUCACAUUUGUAUGUGACCUUGGCUAUGCAGCUUUUGUGUAUUGAACGAGAUAAACACCUGUUGCUGUGUAUCCUAUAGGUGUGAUGUGCAAUGUGGCAGAGUAUGUACCUGUCUGUGUUAGAAACAAGGUGAGGUGCCAGCUUUAAUCCUAUCCUGCAACAUGAGACCCACUUUUUCAAAAAAAGAGAGACCAUUAUAUAUCAAUCUUUGUCUUGUUCUUUAAAAACAUGUUUUACGAAAUGGCGGUUCUUCUGCUGGCGUUACCUUAGGCUGCGGCACGACUCAGUUUUGUUUGUCAACCCCCAGACAAUAUUCUAUGUCACAUAAUCUAUGUUUGUAGAUUAAUGUACACAAUGGAUUUCUGCCAUGUUUAAAAUCUAAAUACCAUACCUAAAAUCCUAUCCAUAAUAAGUGUCUGGAGAUAAGUAAUACACAGGACUAAAGUUAGUUCCCAAAAUGGAAGGUGCUGAAACCCAGACUUUCAUGCAAGUUGCUUCCUCUAACUCAGAUCUCAUUCCCUAAUCCCACAUGUAGUCACCCAGUGGCAAGGGAAAAGACACUCUGUUUAGGCUCAAAGUCUUCCCUCCCUGUUGUUGUCUCUUCUGACUGAGGGCUCAACCAUACAGUUGCUUAAUGUGGAUUAUAAUUCUUCAUUGUCCAUAUGAACUUCUCCUCCGAAUCACUGCCUUCUCACAUUUUCUCCUCCCUGGAUUUUCUUACUCCACGGAUACACUGAAAAGGAGAUGGUAUAAGAAAAUGCAGAUUAAGGGAGGUGAAAGGGAGGAAAGGCACCGACUGGAGGAGAAAGUCGUGUGGACAGCCGAGAAUUAGUGAACGAACAGGAAGCUUACCGUCCAGGUUAAACGAUAGUAUGAAUGAGCUCUGAGCAUUAGUCUUGAAGGUGAAGGUGCCUCUCCCCAUCCCAAGUACAGAGGCCAACUGGACUGGCAGACAACAGGCUUGUGUCCCCCAUUGCACCCAAGGCAGCAAGGAACCACUAGAGGGUUGCUGCCCCCAGCAUCAGCUGUUUGUGAUGGUGGCCUUGCUGUGCCUAAAUGUCAGGGCUGGCCCUGGAGCCAUGACUUAAAUCAUUGCUUUUCAGACUGUUCCUGGACACCUUGGAAGCUCAACAAGUUCCUGGGUGGGAUCAGCAAGCUUCAUUGGAAGACAGCUUGCCCACCAUCCCCAGUCUUCCACUGCAGCCCUGGGAGAGGAUUAGCCAUGCUCCCAGUUUGUGUGAGUUCCAACGGGCCUGUGGCUUGAAGCGGGAUGCACCUAGGAUUGCUCACAACACACAGGCGUUCCUCAGCAACUGCUUCAGUGUGGUUCCUUGAGCUUGCAAAAGGACUGACUUAAAUCCUGAAAAGGAGCAAGGAAAUAUGGGGUGCUGGCAGGGAGAGAGACUGCAGUCUGUCCCUGGUGUAACAUGAAGACAGAUAGCAACUUGCUACUACAGGUAAAUGUCACAAAAUGUAAAUGUCCAGCCCAAUGCAUAUAGGAAGCCUGUCAACACAAGUGUGUGUCAUAAGCAGACCAUAUAUUAUUUCAAUAGUGCAACCAGAUGUGGAGCCUCAGGAAUUACUGGCACAUCCCAGUGAGUGUCCAGUAAGCCUGGGAAGCGCAUGUGAUAAUAGUGUAUGGAGUGUGUGUGUGUGUGUGUGCGUGUGUGUGUUUGCAAUUAGCUUGAUGUGUGUAUGUCAGUGUUUCGGUGCCAGAACAUCUCCUUCCAACCCAAACCACAACCUCUCAAAAUUCCUCUCGACUUCUGUCAGGCCCUGGCUCUGGUCUCGGGGAAAGGCGCUUGCUGCAGCCAGCUCCAUGGGG